rnacentral:lncRNA from 1 species
UAGAGAGCGAUCAUCAUCUGGAACUAUAACGGUUAGUUUGGGAUUUAAAGCAUGAUACACUUUUCCAAUUGCUCCUUUGUAACACCAGAAGGGGUUAUAAUCCUGUGCAUACUUGGUAUUAGAGUCCCUUGCUGUGGUAAAGAUCUUGUACCAAAGCGUGGCAUUGCUGUAUGUUUCAGGAACACAAUGUGGUGGCUGACUGCAGAAAAACAGAAAUAAUUAGCACACUAAUUGCCAUUCUCUACAUUCAGAAAGGCUAACUUACAAAACAGUGUCUGGCUUAAGUCUUCACAGCUGCAUAAAACACAGUUUUAUUCUGGAUCUUCCAAAACAGCAAAAAAAGAAAGGUUAGCCAAAAGAGUUUAUAAAACCAUAGGAUUACUAUCCUGACAUUAGAACUUAACUGCAUGUUGUGGCAGUAAGCCAACACCCCG